rnacentral:rRNA from 1 species
AUUGAACGCUGGCGGCAGGCCUAACACAUGCAAGUCGAGCGGAGCGGCGGACGGGUGCGUAAUGCCUAGGAAUCUGCCUUUGAGUGGGGGAUAAAGUACGGCAACGGACGCUAAUACCGCAUCCUAUCAGAUGCGCCUGGGUAGGCUUAGCUAGUUGGUGGGGUAAAGGACUACCAAGGCGACGAACCGUAACGGGGCUGAGAGGAUGAUCAGUCACACUGUAACUGAGACACGGUCCAUACUCCUACGGGAGGCAGCAUUGGGGAAUAUUGCACAAUGGGCGAAAGCCUGAUCCAGCCAUGCCGCGUGUGUGAAGAAGGUCUUCGGAUUGUAAAGUACUUUUAGUUGGGAGGCGUUACCUACAGAAUAAGCACCGGCUAACUUCGUGCCAGCAGCCGCGGUAAUUC